rnacentral:rRNA from 1 species
AAUAUUGGACAAUGGGGGCGACCCUGAUCCAGCCAUGCCGCGUGAGUGAUGAAGGCCCUAGGGAUGUAAAGCUCUUUCAGCGGUGAAGAUAAUGACGGUAACCACAGAAGAAGCCCCGGCUAACUUCGUUCCAGCAGCCGCGGUAAUACGAAGGGGGCUAGCGUUGUUCGGAUUUACUGGGCGUGAAGCGCACGUAGGCGGAUUGGUCAGUUAGGGGUGAAAACCCGGAGCUCAACUCCGGAACUGCCUUUAAAACUGCCAAUCUAGAGUCCGAGAGAGGUGAGUGGAACUCCUAGUGUAGAGGUGGAAUUCGUAGAUAUUAGGAAGAACACCAGUGGCGAAGGCGGCUCACUGGCUCGGUACUGACGCUGAGGUGCGAAAGCGUGGGGAGCAAACAG